rnacentral:rRNA from 1 species
GAUCAUUACCGAGUAAGGGGUCCUCUGGGCCCCAACUCCCCACCCUUUGUGUACGUACUCCGUUGCUUCGGCGGGCCCGCGGCGUGAAAACCCGCCGUCGGCCCAGGCUGACGAGCGCCCGCCAGAGGACCUUCAAAACCUAUUUAUCAGUGUCGUCUGAGUUCAGCUUCGAAUGUAGUAAAACUUUCAACAACGGAUCUCUUGGUUCUGGCAUCGAUGAAGAACGCAGCGAAAUGCGAUAAGUAAUGUGAAUUGCAGAAUUCAGUGAAUCAUCGAAUCUUUGAACGCACAUUGCGCCCCUUGGUAUUCCGAGGGGCACGCCUGUUCGAGCGUCAUUACACCCCUCAAGCUCGGCUUGGUAUUGGGCCCUCGUCCCCAUGGACGUGCCCGAAACUCCUCGGCGGCGGCGCCUUGCUUCAAAGCGUAGUGAAAUCACAAUCUCGCUUUGGAAGUGGAGGCAUCGCCCGCCGGACGAACCCAAAUCUUUCCAAGUUUGACCUCGGAUCAGGCGGGGAUACCCGCUGAACUUAAGCAUAUCAAUAAGCGGAGGAAAAGAAACCAACAGGGAUUGCCCUAGUAACGGCGAGUGAAGCGGCAACAGCUCAAAUUUGAAAUCUGGCGCCUUCGGUGCCCGAGUUGUAAUUUGCAGAGGAUGCUUCGGCGUCGGCUCCGGUCUAAGUCCCUUGGAACAGGGCGUCACAGAGGGUGAGAAUCCCGUACGUGGCCGGCCGCCUCAGCCAUGUGAAGCUCCUUCGACGAGUCGAGUUGUUUGGGAAUGCAGCUCUAAACGGGAGGUAAAUUUCUUCUAAAGCUAAAUACCGGCCAGAGACCGAUAGCGCACAAGUAGAGUGAUCGAAAGAUGAAAAGCACUUUGAAAAGAGAGUUAAAAAGUACGUGAAAUUGUUGAAAGGGAAGCGCUUGCAGCCAGACUUGACCGCGGAUGCUCAACCGGCCCUUCGGCCGGUGCACUCUUCCGCGGUCAGGCCAGCGUCGGUUUGGGCGGCCGGAUAAAGGCCCCGGGAAUGUAGCUCCUCUCGGGGAGUGUUAUAGCCCGGGGCGUAAUACGGCCAGCCCGGACCGAGGACCGCGCU